GACGAACGCUGGCGGCGUGCCUAAUACAUGCAAGUAGAACGCACAGUUUAUACCGUAGCUUGCUACACCAUAGACUGUGAGUUGCGAACGGGUGAGUAACGCGUAGGUAACCUGCCUGGUAGCGGGGGAUAACUAUUGGAAACGAUAGCUAAUACCGCAUAAUAUUAAUUAUUGCAUGAUAAUUAAUUGAAAGGUGCAAUUGCACCACUACCAGAUGGACCUGCGUUGUAUUAGCUAGUAGGUGAGGUAACGGCUCACCUAGGCGACGAUACAUAGCCGACCUGAGAGGGUGAUCGGCCACACUGGGACUGGGACACGGCCCAGACUCCUACGGGAGGCAGCAGUAGGGAAUCUGCGGCAAUGGACGAAAGUCUGACCGAGCAACGCCGCGUGAGUGAAGAAGGUUUUCGGAUCGUAAAGCUCUGUUGUAAGAGAAGAACGGGUGUGAGAGUGGAAAGUUCACACUGUGACGGUAUCUUACCAGAAAGGGACGGCUAACUACGUG
rnacentral:rRNA from 1 species